UACAGAGGUCCCAAGCGUUGUUCGGAUUCACUGGGCGUAAAGGGUGCGUAGGCGGCGGGGAAAGUUUGAUGUGAAAGCUCCGGGCUUAACCCGGAAAUUGCAUUGAAAACUCCCCCGCUUGAGGAUUGGUAGGGAGACUGGAAUUCUCGGUGUAGCAGUGAAAUGCGUAGAUAUCGAGAGGAACACCAGUGGCGAAGGCGAGUCUCUGGACAAUUCCUGACGCUGAGGCACGAAAGCCAGGGUAGCAAACGGGAUUAGAAACCCCCGUAGUCC
rnacentral:rRNA from 1 species